rnacentral:misc_RNA from 1 species
CAGGCCACAGUCCUCAUACCUUAAUAGGCAGUGGUGGUGCUGGUGGUAGAGGCCAGCUAUUUUGGCUUUCGACAUAGACUUCACACCAACCGCUAUUGCUCCUCCUCCUCCUCCUUCCUUCCCCUUUUCUUCCCCACCCCAUUCCUUAAAUGCCCGCCAUUAUUCUAUUUAUAUAAUUCUAUCUCUUCUACACUCCGAUAUUCUUCUUUGUAUAUAAUAUAUUCACACACUGAUUUACUCCCUUCACAUUCUC